rnacentral:rRNA from 1 species
GAUGAACGCUGGCGGCGUGCCUAACACAUGCAAGUCGAGCGAACGCACGAGAAGCUUGUUUCUUUGAUGUUAGCGGGGGACGGGCGAGUAAGACGUACAUAACCUACCUCUAAGACUGGGAUAACUACGGGAAACCGGAGAUAAUACUGGCUGAUAUUUUGAACCGCAUGGUUCAAAAGUGAAAGACGGUCUUGCUGUCACUUAUAGAUGGAUCCGCGUUGCAUUAGCUAGUUGGUAAGGUAACGGCUUACCAAGGCAACGAUACGUAGCCGAUCUGAGAGGGUGAUCAGCCACACUGGAACUGAGACACGGUCCAGACUCCUACGGGAGGCAGCAGUGGGGAAUCUUGCACAAUGGGCGAAAGCCUGACGGAGCAACGCCGCGUGGGUGAUGAAGGUCUUCGGGUCGUAAAACUCUGUUGUUAGGGAAGAACAGAAGUGUGAGUAUCUGUGGACAUCUUGACGGUACCUAAUCAAAAAGCCACGGCUAACUACGUG